UGGGGAAUAUUGCACAAUGGGGGUAACCCUGAUGCAGCGACGCCGCGUGAACGAAGAAGGUAUUCGUAUCGUAAAGUUCUGUCCUAUGGGAAGAUAAUGACAGUACCAUAGAAGAAAGCUCCGGCUAAAUACGUGCCAGCAGCCGCGGUAAUACGUAUGGAGCGAGCGUUGUCCGGAAUUAUUGGGCGUAAAGGGUACGCAGGCGGUUUAAUAAGUCGAAUGUUAAAGAUCGGGGCUCAACCCCGUAAAGCAUUGGAAACUGAUAAACUUGAGUAGUGGAGAGGAAAGUGGAAUUCCUAGUGUAGUGGUGAAAUACGUAGAUAUUAGGAGGAAUACCAGUAGCGAAGGCGACUUUCUGGACACAAACUGACGCUGAGGUACGAAAGCGUGGGGAGCAAACAGG
rnacentral:rRNA from 1 species